AUGAACGCUAGCUACAGGCUUAACACAUGCAAGUCGAGGGGCAGCAUGGUCUUAGCUUGCUAAGGCUGAUGGCGACCGGCGCACGGGUGAGUAACACGUAUCCAACCUGCCGUCUACUCUUGGCCAGCCUUCUGAAAGGAAGAUUAAUCCAGGAUGGGAUCAUGAGUUCACAUGUCCGCAUGAUUAAAGGUAUUUUCCGGUAGACGAUGGGGAUGCGUUCCAUUAGAUAGUAGGCGGGGUAACGGCCCACCUAGUCAACGAUGGAUAGGGGUUCUGAGAGGAAGGUCCCCCACAUUGGAACUGAGACACGGUCCAAACUCCUACGGGAGGCAGCAGUGAGGAAUAUUGGUCAAUGGGCGAUGGCCUGAACCAGCCAAGUAGCGUGAAGGAUGACUGCCCUAUGGGUUGUAAACUUCUUUUAUAAAGGAAUAAAGUCGGGUAUACAUACCCGUUUGCAUGUACUUUAUGAAUAAGGAUCGGCUAACUCCGUGCCAGCAGCCGCGGUAAUACGGAGGAUCCGAGCGUUAUCCGGAUUUAUUGGGUUUAAAGGGAGCGUAGAUGGAUGUUUAAGUCAGUUGUGAAAGUUUGCGGCUCAACCGUAAAAUUGCAGUUGAUACUGGAUGUCUUGAGUGCAGUUGAGGCAGGCGGAAUUCGUGGUGUAGCGGUGAAAUGCUUAGAUAUCACGAAGAACUCCGAUUGCGAAGGCAGCCUGCUAAGCUGCAACUGACAUUGAGGCUCGAAAGUGUGGGUAUCAAACAGGAUUAGAUACCCUGGUAGUCCACACGGUAAACGAUGAAUACUCGCUGUUUGCGAUAUACGGCAAGCGGCCAAGCGAAAGCGUUAAGUAUUCCACCUGGGGAGUACGCCGGCAACGGUGAAACUCAAAGGAAUUGACGGGGGCCCGCACAAGCAGUGGAGUAUGUGGUUUAAUUCGACGCAACGCGAAGAACCUUACCAAGUCUUGACAUCCUGCGACGAUGCUGGAAACAGUAUUUUCCUUCGGGACGCAGAGACAGGUGGUGCAUGGUUGUCGUCAGCUCGUGUCGUGAGAUGUUGGGUUAAGUCCCGCAACGAGCGCAACCCUUAUCUUUAGUAGCCAGCAGUAAGAUGGGCACUCUAGAGAGACUGCCGGGGAUAACCCGGAGGAAGGUGGGGAUGACGUCAAAUCAGCACGGCCCUUACGUCCGGGGCUACACACGUGUUACAAUGGGGGGUACAGAGGGCCGCUACCACGCGAGUGGAUGCCAAUCCCUAAAACCCCUCUCAGUUCGGACUGGAGUCUGCAACCCGACUCCACGAAGCUGGAUUCGCUAGUAAUCGCGCAUCAGCCACGGCGCGGUGAAUACGUUCCCGGGCCUUGUACACACCGCCCGUCAAGCCAUGGGAGCCGGGGGUACCUGAAGUGCGUAACCGCGAGGAUCGCCCUAGGGUAAAACUGGUGACUGGGGCU
rnacentral:rRNA from 1 species